CUUGUUUUUAAUCAGUCACUGGAAAAUAUAUAUGGGUUUUUCAAGUCUCUUAGUUUAAGCAUCACCAUAUUAUUAAUUCCAUGCUCAGCGCAAAACGUAAAAAAAGAGUCAAUUAUACAAUCUCGUUUUACUGUUAAAUAUGUCUAACUAAUUUGCAUGUAGAUUUUAUUUUUGAGUGAUCAAGAUCAGUUUUUGUCUUUCUUAUUGUUAAUACGCAAUCUGAUCCAUACCCACGGCUUUUUAUGAUUAGAUCAGUUAGCUAUCAUUAUCAGUAAAAAAAACUGUCGAAUAGAUUAACGUAUAUGCGUAAAAAGGUAAAAUGUCGUAAAAAAGCGACUUAAUUCUCUCGGACUUAACAUCUGUUGUUAGUUUAUUGUUUUGAACAGCAUGGCUCCCAGCCGCGCGAUUAGACGAUAAGAUCUUGCAGGGAACUGCAGCAUACCGAGCGCCCCCUAUCAGCCGACAACAGAACAAGAUUAAUAGGAAACGAAAUUUUUUUGCCAUUUCAGAAAAAAGAUAUCUUACCAUACAAACAGUUUUCUUUCUUUUGGAUAUAACUAAUGAUAGAAACAAACUAACUUACAUCAGAUUUUGUCAUUGCAGCUGCAAAAUAAGGAACUUUAUACAAUACUAUAGUAUAGCUAGGAAUAACAUUUCGUUUGCAUUAAUUCUAUGCAUAGGAAAAAGGCGGUUAUUUUGGAAGAUGAAAACUUGUGGUGUUACACAAAAAUAUGGAUAAAAAACAAUAUCAAGGCAUCUAGACUACUGAUAGACGUUAUCUCGCAGAAAACUGAAAAGAGCAGCAAAGAAAGGACAGAACGUAAAAAUCAGCAACUCUGAUGAGAUGGUAAAAAGCAGAUGAACGGGAGAUAAUAAAAUGCAGAUGGACGGCUUCUUUGAUCGUGAAGAGUUUGCUAUUAGUUAUGGGACGAGGGCAUUCCAAGGAAAUGACAUAUAUGAAUCUUUGAAGCAGUAUGCCAUUCAUUGCCUCAGUAUAAAAAUUCAACAUUUAAUGAUUAUAGGAAUGAAAAAGGUGUAGCUCCAGACAAACACUACUGAAAAGGAAGGCAAAGAUGUUUUCAGACUGACAUAAAGCCCUAGUUUCUAAAACUAGAAAUAUUUCCUAACAGCAAGCACGAAUAUUUCCAGAAUUAUUACCCUUUACUUGUUUACCUGACAUUAUCUGUUUUAUUUGCAGGGAUAUUUAUGAAAUGAGCUAUGCACGUACAUCAUGAGUUUUCAAUGUUAUGAUGUGGUGGCAUAGAUUUGUUCACAAAUUUUAAUCUUGUUGUAUGUUCUUGAUUAAUCUAGUCAGCUUUUGUUUGUAAAAAUAAAAGAAAAAUAAAUAAAAUUUAUCAAGAUAUGUUAUUAUUAUUAUUAUUAUUUUCAUAUUUUUCUCCGGAAUUGACACCAUCAUUGGAACCUGC